rnacentral:rRNA from 1 species
CGUACAGGUUUCCGUAGGUGAACCUGCGGAAGGAUCAUUAGAAAUGUGCCGCAAGGCCUUAUCUAUUCACACACAACUGUGCACGCCUUCGGGCAUAAACUAUAUAAACAGUAAUGAAUGCAAACAAGUUAAUAUAAUACAACUUUCAACAACGGAUCUCUAGGCUCUCGCAUCGAUGAAGAACGCAGCGAAUUGCGAAAAGUAAUGUGAAUUGCAGAAUUCAGUGAAUCAUCGAAUCUUUGAACGCACCUUGCACCCUUUGGUAUUCCGAAGGGUAUGCCUGUCUGAGUGUCAUUAGACCUUCUCUCUGGCGGUUUCUUGACCGUCAUUGAGCUUUGGGAUCGCCUCUGGCCUUCCUUAAAUGCCUUAGUGUGACGAAACAUCAGUUGUCUCCGUCUGCACUCUAAACCGCAGCAAUGCACUCUUGAUUUGACCUCAGAUCAGGUAGGACUACCCGCUGAACUUAAGCAUAU